rnacentral:lncRNA from 10 species
GUUGGCUGUACAUAUCCAUGUCAGUCACCGCGCCCGGCCCCACUUUCUUCUCAUUUCUAAGUGUACUUUUGUGGCAUUUAAACUGCCGAUGGUGACUUUGGUGUUGAGCGGUGUUGUUUCCACAGCCCACACUGAAGGCAUUGGGAGGGACCCAGGAGGGCACAAGGUGUUUUAAGGCCCUUUCCCACCUGCCAAACACCUUUUGCUGUUGCUUUUUGGUUUUAUUUUGUUUUGCGAAACCGGGGAAUAGUGACUUAAGGACUCGGCUUUCUGCCUUGUGCCAGAGAGCCACAGUACACUGCUUUUAUUUUUAUUUUUUGGUAAGACUUGGCUAUAGGAAGGACUGAGAAUAUAGCUUUCAUUUCUUUUAAAAAACAUUUCCUUUUCUUUUAAAUAGAUACGUGAUCAUUUAACACACGGGUGUUAAGUUCAUUCUUGCUGCAAAAGAAGGCCAUUGUACCUCCUGACCCUGAAAGCAAGAUGAAGUCACUGAGACACCAAAGGUUAAUUGCUUGCCCAAAGCCAUGUAGCAACUUGGUUGAAGUUACUUUAGUGUCGAAAGCUCCACAUAUGUGCUUUUCGCAAAAUCAAUAGUCACCCCAUG